CAUGUUUGUACAAUACAUGAAGUACCAUUAGUGCAUACCAUAUUAUAUCCAUGAAAAAGUUAACUUAACGAAAUAAGUGCAAACGUUUGUGGUCUACUGAACUUACAAAUUUGUGCAUUUCCUUACACAGUUUUUCACAGACAUGGAUGUGAUUCAAAAUACUUACGCCUGUUGACUUGAAAGGAGUCCCAUAUUUUUGUCCUUAAAGCAUUCUGCAAAUAUACUGCGUCCAUAGAAGCGAUGUUCCACAGCAAACAGCAAAGCACCAUACUUCUUGGCCAUAUCAACAAUAUGCCCUAAAGUGACAAUUAUGCAGCACAAAUCAAGAACAAGGUAUUUUGACGUUCCGUUCUUUUUGAGCAAGUUGUUCUUGUUGACAUCUUUUCAAGGAGGCAAUGAAACGUGCAAUGGAAAAGACUUUGCAGUUGCUUUUCGUGGUGGUUUUGAUUCUCCCCGGCUUCUGCCGUCAAGCUAAUGUUCGCUUGGUCGGAGGGUCAACUAAAAAAGAAGGUCGAGUAGAGAUUUUCUACAAUGGCUCAUGGGGAACAGUCUGUGAUGACAGGUGGGAUCGUAAAGACGCUAAAGUUGUCUGUCGCUCUCUGGGUCUACUAUGAAAAUCAGUAGCAGCACUAGGCAAAGCAGCGUUUGGUCCUGGUGCUGGUCCAAUCUGGAUGACUUCUGUACGCUGCCGAGGAAAUGAAACAUCUUUGUUUCAGUGUCCGCACGAAGGACCGGGAUCACCUAACUGUGGACAUGGACGCGAUGCUAGUGUUGUAUGUGAAAGGCUACCACUGAGGAAUUUCACUGGUGUUAUCACCAGUCCCGGAUACCCCAAAAAAAUGCCAAGAGCCUACUACGACUGGACAUUCAUACCUCCCAUACGGCGUGUGUGAGACACAAAACUAGUACGGCAUUUCGUGACUAAGUCUUUAUGUAAAUAUUAGAGUGUGUGACGAAAUGUUCAUGUAACCAGAUAGUAGUUUUGUAACCAGAGAUAGAGAGGGAUAUAUUCUUACACACAUGUACUGAGCAUAGAUCUCAAAGAAAGAAGCAGUAAAUAUAAGUUCCAGCAAAAA